rnacentral:rRNA from 1 species
AUACGGAGGGUGCAAGCGUUAAUCGGAAUUACUGGGCGUAAAGCGCGCGUAGGCGGUUUGGUCAGUCGGAUGUGAAAGCCCUGGGCUCAACCCAGGAAUUGCAUUCGAUACUGCCUGACUAGAGUAUGGUAGAGGGAAGUGGAAUUUCCGGUGUAGCGGUGAAAUGCGUAGAUAUCAGAAGGAACACCAGUGGCGAAGGCGACUUCCUGGGCCAAUACUGACGCUCAGGUGCGAAAGCUUGGGGAGCAAACAGGAUUAGAAACCCCAGUAGUCC